AUGACCUCACGCUGUCGCGUAGCAACCGCUGACAUCAUCCCGGUCCUGUUCUCAUGGAAACCCGCGGGGGGUGGGGAGACAACGGCAGCACCGGGCGGGGUCCCGGGACCAACCCCCCCCCUACCACCACCACCACCACCGGAGCCCCCUGGAACGGCGAGGAAAGGGUUAACCCGCAUAAAUCAGCAUAAUAUAGGGACGUCAGCCCGCGUCAGCCAACUGCAGGGGGACCUUUUAUGGCCAUCGGUGCUGGCAGAUGCUUCACAGCCCACUGCAUCCCUCCAGGCAGGGACAGAAGCAUUGCUGGAGUCACCCUGAACUUCCACAUCAGCUCCUGCCUCAUGACAGCAGUGGUUUAGUGUGGCACACUGAUAACUUAGUGCUUGCUGUUGUGUGCUGGGAUGGAUGGAGCGAGGGGUGCUGCCAAAUAUCCAACAAUGGUGACGUGAGGUCCCCAGAGGAUCCCACAGAGUCCCAAAUAUCCCUCCCUGGAGCUGGCUGCAGAUAUGUGGAUGAAGAGGUCCCUCUGCACUGGGUGAGAAGCACUGCUCCAAAUACAGCCCAUAAUUUCCA